UUAUCUUUUUAUAAUUGUUCAUGAUAAAUUAAUGAGAAUAUUACGUGUUAAGGCACUUUUCUGAAAGUUUAGCCGUAAUUAGGCACUUCACAAUCAUUAGACACUUUUUCUAUGUGAAUUGACAUCACUACCCUCUAACUAUCUCUCCCUUUUAUCUUUUCGUUAUCUCUCUUCUUUUAGAAUACAAAAACAUUUUUGGCCUCUCUUGUUCUUCAUCUCUCUUUCUAGAAUAAAAAUUCAAUUUUUUAGGACACUCUCAAUAUUCAAAAUCAAAAUCAAAACUGAAUCUCUUAAGGUUUAUCAUCAUCUUCCCUAUCUCUCAACAAUCUGUUGCUUCUCUUCUUCUUCCUCUCUCGAGAUCUUUUUCAAAUAUAUUCUCAAAUCCACCUUUCUCCGCUGGAUCUGAUUCCAAAACAUGUGAAAGUCUCUGGUCACAGAAUUUCCGUCAGAAGUUUCCUCGAAAAUUAUAACAACACUAUCGACAUUCUCUCUUUCGAUUUUGAUUCCAUGAUCGUGAAGCCUCUCCCGAAUUUCAACAACCGCAUCAAAAUUGUAACCAUUUGGGCAAGUUACGUUUCUCUCUUUCUCUCGAAGUUCUAGACCCUAUCUAUUCGCCGCUCCAACAAUCAUACCUCCGUCAAGAGGACGUUAUCCUCUCAAACGUGGAUCUAGCUUUGAUUCUCUUCACUUAUAUUUCGCA
rnacentral:sRNA from 1 species